rnacentral:rRNA from 1 species
UACGUAGGGUGCGAGCGUUGUCCGGAAUUAUUGGGCGUAAAGAGCUCGUAGGCGGUUUGUUGCGUCUAUCGUGAAAACCUGCAGCUUAACUGUGGGCUUGCGGUGGAUACGGGCAGACUUGAGUUCGGUAGGGGAGACUGGAAUUCCUGGUGUAGCGGUGAAAUGCGCAGAUAUCAGGAGGAACACCGGUGGCGAAGGCGGGUCUCUGGGCCGAUACUGACGCUGAGGAGCGAAAGCGUGGGGAGCAAACCGG